UUAACCCGAAGUUGCUAUCCU
rnacentral:piRNA from 1 species